GACGAACGCUGGCGGCGUGCUUAACACAUGCAAGUCGAACGGAAAGGCCCUGCUUUUGUGGGGUGCUCGAGUGGCGAACGGGUGAGUAACACGAGAGUAACCUGCCCUUGACUUUGGGAUAACUUCAGGAAACUGGGGCUAAUACCGGAUAGGAGCUCCUGCUGCAUGGUGGGGGUUGGAAAGUUUCGGCGGUUGGGGAUGGACUCGCGGCUUAUCAGCUUGUUGGUGGGGUAGUGGCUUACCAAGGCUUUGACGGGUAGCCGGCCUGAGAGGGUGACCGGCCACAUUGGGACUGAGAUACGGCCCAGACUCCUACGGGAGGCAGCAGUGGGGAAUAUUGCACAAUGGGCGGAAGCCUGAUGCAGCAACGCCGCGUGCGGGAUGACGGCCUUAGGGUUGUAAACCGCUUUCGCCUGUGACGAAGCGUGAGUGACGGUAAUGGGUAAAGAAGCACCGGCUAACUACGUG
rnacentral:rRNA from 1 species